rnacentral:rRNA from 1 species
CCCUUAGAUGUCCUGGGCCGCACGCGUGCUACACUGAUGCAUACAGCGAGUACUUUCCAGCUCCGCGAGGCAGCUGGUAAUCAGCAAUAUGCAUCGUGCUGGGGAUAGAUCUUUGGAAUUAUAGAUCUUGAACGAGGAAUUCCUAGUAAGCGCAAGUCAUUAGCUUGCGCUGAUUAAGUCCCUGCCCUUUGUACACACCGCCCGUCGCUCCUACCGAUUUCGAGUGAUUCGGUGAACCUUUUGGACAGCGUCUGUCCUCGUGUCAAAUGCUGAAAGUCAAGUAAACCAUAUCACUUAGAGGAAGGAGAAGUCGUAACA